rnacentral:rRNA from 1 species
UACGUAGGGUGCAAGCGUUGUCCGGAAUUAUUGGGCGUAAAGAGCUCGUAGGCGGUUUGUCGCGUCGAAUGUGAAAACUCGGGGCUCAACUCCGAGCUUGCAUUCGAUACGGGCAGGCUAGAGUUCGGUAGGGGAGACUGGAAUUCCUGGUGUAGCGGUGGAAUGCGCAGAUAUCAGGAGGAACACCGAUGGCGAAGGCAGGUCACUGGGCCGCAACUGACGCUGAGGAGCGAAAGCAUGGGGAGCGAACAGG